CUGUUUGACUUGUCUAUUCCCCCGCGUCCACCUCAUAUGAGAGACAAAUCUGUUGACAACAAGGUCGUCCUGUGAGCAAACUUUCGGUGCCCCCCCUCCCCCCUUUUCUUCUUCCUCUCCAUCUCUUUCUAUCAUCCCCUUUGAAGUUAUGUCCAAAAGGCUGUUAUUAUCUGGUAUUAAUAGAUGCAGCCCCAGGAAGACAAAAUCAGCUAUUGAUAAUUGCAAGGAGUAUACGGCAGCUACUGUAUCGAUCGGCGUGUCCUCCACUCCCCUGGUACUGAGAGAUAAGGAGACACACUCUUUAGAGCAAUAUAAUUUCUUUUGACCUAUCUGCUUGCUACAGACUUAUGAUGAAUAGCCAGAGUGGCUGAAGUCCUUUAUCACCAAAGUUACCCCCUUGAUAUAAUAUUGAUUCUUUAUAACUAGCUCGCCACACAAAAAUCAAACUGUCCACUUGGCCAUCAUCAUCAUCAAUAUCAUCACAAAGGCGGAGGAAUGAAGAUCCCCCGCGCGUCUAAAGGCGAGCCGUUACAAUCUCCUCUGUAGGCCUAAUCUUUAUUUUGCUGAUGAUGAAAGGAGAGGGGAAACGAGGCAAGGUGCCAUUUAAGACGCGGUGCCAUUUAAUCCGGUAUAGACUACACAUACACACACCGCACACACUUAUAGAGAGAGAGGGAAAGAGAGGGGGUGUCCAGACCGGGCUGCCGAACAGCUUUGGAAUUCACGUCGCUUGAAAAGUUUGAUUUCCACUAAGCUUUACGUAACCCUAAGAGCCCCUGUGAUUUUAUAUAGCUUGAUCUGACUUCAAAAAUAAAUAAAUUACCAAGUCAAAUAUUAUUGUUCUCCAAUUUACUGCAGUGGACGAGCAAAUAAAUACAUAAAUACGUUUUUUUUUUAAAAAGCACUUUUUUGUUUCAUGGCACUGCGGAUGCCGGAUGCCUCAGAGGUAUCCUUUAACCUUAGAGGCUGCUUCCUGCAGAGCUGGAUCCCCACCGAGGCUAUUACAACGGGGGCCACUCUCUCUAUUCUCCGAGAGAGGAGUGAGAGUGCUGCUGGUGCUGCUGGUGGAAGAGGAGGAGGAGGAGGGGGGCAUGGUGGCGGAGGAGGGUGGGAGAGGAGGGAGAGCAGAAACGUGUAAUCACCCAAACAACCGUUUUUACCCGUUUCACCCCCUCUGGAUCUGUGUCGCAAGUCCGCUGUGAGCCUGUCUGCCUUUCACUGCGGAUAUCGUGGAGGGAGGCCGGAGCGUGAAGAAGACACCAGAGAGGUGUGUGGCAUGUGGAAAAGUGUGCAGACACGAUCAACAUGUGACUUAUCCUAUAAACGCUCUUGAACAAUUGCCUUGCUAAUCACAUUAUGGAUACAGUAAGCUCAACAAAUUGGAGGAGAAAUGUGAUCCCUCGGAAUAGAAGAAAUCAGCUUUAAGUGGCCUUUUCUGGGAGCCCUGAUGGAGCCAACACUGGUGGACUGGGACACAGCAAAGCCUGGGCACCUGCCAAAAGACAGGGACAAAUUGAUUGAGACCAAGCUAGCUCCUCCUGCAUUUAACCCCUGCUCCAGCACCAGUUGGUCCUUCUAAAUCACCACAUAAGAAAACAGAAAAAAUAAAGCCUAAAUGGAGCUGCUGCUGCUAAAACAUAUCCCUCUUUAAAUUUACUUUUCAUUAUUUUCCAUUUCAAUUUUUCUUUGUUAUUAUUGUUGCCUGCUGAUUGUAUUCACUUCUGUUUUUACUCUAUUUGUUAAUUUCUAUUUGGUUACAUUUUCACUCAAUUACUGAAAAAGUUGGCCUUCAGUCUUUUUGGCUCAGUUUGCAGGGGCACUUGUGAAUAAAUACAAAGUUGGAAGAGACUGCUUGCAUUGUGCCAGAGGCAUUGUCACUCGUAAUGAUGAAGGUGAAAUUAAAAAUCCCUAUAAACCAUGCUGUCUUUUACUUGAAAAACCAAUUAAAACAACUGAGUUGAUUUGCCAUCCACUAAAACUACAAAAGCCUCCAUCCUGUUAGUGUAGUGGGGUAUUGCAACAAAGUCUGCUGCAUGCUUUACUGCUAUUUUCAGUAAUGCUACACUGGAGAACAAAAGGGGGCGGUUAUGUGUUUAAAUUCUUAAAUGCAAGCAAAGUUCUAGUUAUAUCCUUUCGUUUUAUAUCAGUAUCAAUAAAUGCACUGCUUUCUUUCCACAGAGGGACACAGUUUUCCACCCUCAGAUGUCUUGCUAGUACACAUAAGGUCACCACAGAACAAGAGUGGGAAGAAUCUGGGAGCAAAAGGCAAAAUGGUUUGUGUCGAUUUAAGCAAGAGGGUAAUAGGAGGAGUGGGAAAAAAAUCAAUAACAACAUAAAAUUGAUUUAGUGCGUGUCAUAAAACAUAAGUAAGUGCUCUGAGAUGGAGAAAACUGGAGUCUCAAUUUAAUCUGUGCAAAAGCUGCACUGUACAGAUGAAGCGAUGUCAAGAGGGAGAAAGAUAGGAAGCGGCUAAAGGAGAGUGGGUGGGAAGAAAGAAGAAAAGCAGGAGGGAGGACAGAGUAGCUCACAAGAUAAAGAGAGGAAGAUACAAUAAAAUCUAAAAGACAGACACUUAAUUGUCAUAUUAAAGACUCUUUCCAGUGCUCGGCAGAGUGGAAGGUUAGCUCCCAUUCAUCAUCUCGCUAACAGCCGCCUGAAUGAAAUCACAAUUAAAAUCUGCUCAGUAUUGUCCCUGGGACGUUUCGCGAGCAUUAAUUUUUUCCCAUUGAUUCUCUACCCCCCAUAAAUCAGAAAUGUUGCAGCGCAUGCAAUGGUUUAUGGAGAAGGGAUUAUGGUGUUAUGAAGCUAAUGUAGCAGAACCGUCUCAUUUACACACAGCCUCCCUGGCCAGCUUACAGGGGACGGAGUUAUUACACUAUUACACAGCCUAUCACAAACACAACACACUGACACUGUUUAAACGAUACGUUUAAUUGGACAGUACUGUAGAUUUACAGCUUUUAUGAUCAUAACAGCAUUGUGUUUUGAGGAUUCUGUUCAUUUGCAGCACAAAAGUGCAGUAGGAGAAGAUUACAGCAUUUGUCGCAGAAACCAGUGAUUCUCUAAACAUCUCAGAAGGAUUAUCCAAAGCCCUGAUCAGUUCCUAUAUAUAAUUUUCCAGUAUAUGGUUCUAAGGUGUAGACUUUUACACCCUUAAAAGACAAAUCCAAGCACUGAAGUUUAGUUUAGUCUGAAAAAGUUUUGCUCUGCCAUUCCUAAGUUGCUAUUAAAAAAAUAAUAAAGUAAAGGAGAAUAUUAAAUGCCGUAAUAUAAAAUAAAAGGUAGAAGAGUACACAAUAAAAUAAACAGAUAGUUUUAAAGUAAGUAAAUAAUAAUAAUUAAGAGCCAGUGAGGCUGCUAGCUAGCUAGCUGCCCGCUAGGCGUUAUCUCAGCUUCUUUUAAACAUUCAGCAUGACCUCGCUACCUUGUUUGCAGUGGGUUUUUGUUUUAAACUUCAAUAAUGUGAUUUGUAAUUAAACUGUCUCCAUUCUUGGUUAGUGGUACUCUGGUAUUGUUUUUAUGAACAUGUUAGACAGUGCUCUUGCACUCCCUGCUAACCAUGCUUGCUGGUUAGCUAAUAACAUAGCACACCCCCGCCUUCUGUGUAAAUGCAAUCAAUUUAGCCUAAAUGCUAAAAUAAAGGCUUCAACACAAGGUGACAAGAUGACUGGUGAAAGCACAGUGGCUACAUCCAUCUUUUAGAUAUAGUUUAAGACAGAGCACAGUUGUUAGUGGGAAUAAUGCACAGCAUUAUUAUUAUUUGCAAGCAUCUGGUCUUUGUCUGAAAUCAUUUUCUUGUCCAGUCAUUUGCUGCCUUACCUAUUUUGCAUAAUAAUUUAAUCUGCUGUGAGCAGCAAACUGUCAUUAUGAAGGUGUAUGUGAUUUUUUUGUCCUUACUGACAGGUGUCAUGUCAUGCAAAGCUAAUUUGGUUCUACAAAUUACACAGCAUUGUAUCGUAGAACUUUUAGUUUGUGUUAAUUGCAUGCAUAAAUUUCCCACUCAUUUUGGACACUCAAUAAAUACUAUACCAUCUUUAUCGUUUACAGCUGUGUCUUCCUAAGUAAUAUGAGCCUUGUAAAAGAACAUGGGUAAAUGCAACAGAUUUGUCACUGUGUUCUCAUAGCACAUUGUUAUAUUGUUGUUUUUUUAAUGGCUUGAGCCCAUCAGCAAUCCAAAAUCCAUAACUAUCAUAGUUCAUUCUGAGGGAGUUAGAUCAGAAUGAACUACCCAAACAUCACAUCAUCGUCACAUAAACUGGUCCUGACAGCAGC